rnacentral:rRNA from 1 species
CUACACAUGCAGUCGAGGGGUAGAGUUCUUCGGGACUUGAGACCGGCGCACGGGUGCGUAACGCGUAUGCAAUCUACCUUAUACAGGGGAAUAGCCCAGAGAAAUUUGGAUUAAUGCCCCAUAGUGUUAUCGAAUCGCAUGGUUUGAUAACUAAAGUUCCAACGGUAUAAGAUGAGCAUGCGUCCCAUUAGUUAGUUGGUAAGGUAACGGCUUACCAAGACAAUGAUGGGUAGGGGUCCUGAGAGGGAGAUCCCCCACACUGGUACUGAGACACGGACCAGACUCCUACGGGAGGCAGCAGUGAGGAAUAUUGGUCAAUGGGCGCAAGCCUGAACCAGCCAUGCCGCGUGCAGGAAGACGGUCCUAUGGAUUGUAAACUGCUUUUAUACAGGAAGAAACCCUCCCACGUGUGGGAGCUUGACGGUACUGUAGGAAUAAGGAUCGGCUAACUCCGUGCCAGCAGCCGCGGUAAUACGGAGGAUCCAAGCGUUAUCCGGAAUCAUUGGGUUUAAAGGGUCCGUAGGCGGCCUUAUAAGUCAGUGGUGAAAUCUCCUAGCUCAACUAGGAAACUGCCAUUGAUACUGUAGGGCUUGAAUUUUUGUGAAGUAACUAGAAUAUGUAGUGUAGCGGUGAAAUGCUUAGAUAUUACAUGGAAUACCAAUUGCGAAGGCAGGUUACUAACAAACGAUUGACGCUGAUGGACGAAAGCGUGGGGAGCGAACAGGAUUAGAUACCCUGGUAGUCCACGCCGU